rnacentral:misc_RNA from 1 species
GAUGAAGAACGUAGCGAAAUGCGAUACGUAAUGUGAAUUGCAGAAUUCAGUGAAUCAUCGAAUCUUUGAACGCACAUUGCACUCUCUGGUAUUCCGGAGAGUAUGCUUGUUUGAGUAUCUGUAAACAUCUCAAAUCUCUCUUCGCUUGCGUCGAGAGAAUUGGAUUUGAGCGAUCCCGACUCCUUCGUCAGAAAGAGGAGGGUCGCUUGAAAUGCAGGUGCAGCUGGACAUUCUUCUGAGCUAAAAGCAUAUCUAUUUAGUCCCGUCAAACGGAUUAUUACUUUUGCUUCAGCUAAUAUAAAGGUCGAAUGAACUACCAACGCUGAUUGCAGGAAAGCUCGUUUGUAACAGAACUUGUAAACUCGAUCUCAAAUCAAGUAAGACUACCCGCUGAACUUAAGCAUAUCAAUAAGCGGAGGA